CAGAAGGAAGCCUGCAGUGUUCCCACUGCUCAACCAUGCUCAUGGUGUUCAUCCCAGUACUGGGGAUGCUUUUUACCCUGAGAGACACCAGAGCCCAGUCAGUGACCCAGCCUGAUGGCCAUGUCUUGGUCUCUGAAGAAGCCUCACUGGAGCUGAGGUGCAACUAUUCCUAUGGUGCAACUCCUUAUCUCUUCUGGUACAUCCAGUACCCCAGCCAAGGCCUCCAGCUUCUCAUUAAGCACUUUUCAGGGGACACCCUGGUUCAAGGCAUUAAAGGCUUUGAGGCUGAAUUUAGGAAAAGUGACUCUUCCUUCAACCUGAAGAAAUCCUCAGCCCAUUGGAGCGACUCCGCUGAGUACUUCUGUGCUCUGAGUGACACAGUGCCCGAGACUGCAGGGGGAGCUGAACACAAUCCAUUCACUGCAGUGGAUUUUUCUGAGACUCAAGAUCUCUUUGUGUGGUAUUUUUAA